rnacentral:sRNA from 1 species
UCAACAUGGUAAGUAGACAACGGAGUGUC